rnacentral:tRNA from 1 species
CGACCGGUCGGCGGCGUUGUCGCCGGCCCGGUUCCUGACCCGGCGGGCGGACACCCCACCGCCGUCCCGGCCGGUGUCGUCCGGCCUGCCCGAC